rnacentral:misc_RNA from 1 species
ACAUAGCUGAUGAAGGACCUCCUGGUGAAUUGCUAGAUAAAAAACAGCUUGGUGAUUGAGCUGUUGAAGGGAGUGCUGAAUUCGAAAAUGAUGCUGGUGAAGAUGGUGGAGCUAAAAGAGCUGCCGUCUGAUUAUUCAGCCCACCAGCUUGGGGAACAUUCUGCUGAUUUGGCAUUGAAUUGGCCUCAGGAAUACGAGAUGAAGGCACUAUACGCUUUCCACCUUUUUGUCUUCCAAAACAAGACAAUCUUCCCAAACAUCCUCCCCAUCGUUUAUGCCGAGAAGGAAGUGGCGGUCCUUGUUGCUGCGGAAAUCUAUUCUGCUCCGACCCCAUUUCUA